UACGUAGGGGGGCAAGCGUUGUCCGGAUUUAUUGGGCGUAAAGAGCGUGUAGGCGGCUUUACAGGUCCGUUGUGAAAACUCGAGGCUCAACCUCGAGACGCCGGUGGAAACCGUAAGGCUAGAGUCCGGAAGAGGAGAGUGGAAUUCCUGGUGUAGCGGUGAAAUGCGCAGAUAUCAGGAAGAACACCCGUGGCGAAGGCGGCCCCCUGGGCCGUACCUGACGCUGAGGCGCGAAGGCUAGGGGAGCGAACGGG
rnacentral:rRNA from 1 species